UGUGCACCUAUCCCCCCCCACUUCUCCCUUCUGUUUUUGUUUUUCUGUUUCUUGUUUUUUGUGCUAAAUUGUAUGUUUGCACUGAAUACGAGCAGCUUUCAGUUUCACUGUACAUGUAUAGUGACAAUAAAUGGCAUAUCUAUGUACCUGCACAACAAGAUCCCUCUGCUCUACAACAUUCCUCACGGCCCUGCCAUUCACUGUGAAGAAGAACUUUAUUGAAGUAAAAACUUAAUUCUGUUCUUACGACAAAUCAGACCUCUUGACGCAUGACCUUUAACAGAUUGGCCGCGCCGUCAUUGAAUAUUUGGCAAAGACUCAAAACCUCACCAACAUGUAAGGUAUGACAUGCAGGAUAUGUGAUAUAACGUCAAAUCCUCCCGUGUAGUACGUUAAUAUUACACCCUGUAAAGGGGGCUGUAAACUACACUCUCCAGUCCGCCAGACAGAUGAAAAGCCCGCCGAUUGAUAUGAGAAUUGUUUGUAGGGAAGAAUGGGCGUGGCGGCGAGUGACGGGCGGCAUCGAUUUCCCAUUCACUAAUGCAGAGUGAGAAUGAGAAGCCGGGGAGGAGAGCACAGUGCCAGUGAGCACGACCAGCAGAACAGCGAAGCGCUCCUGAUCCCAGGGCUCCUUCCCCUUGAAAAGUCCCUCAGCAUGGAUCGAGGCUUGGGCCGGCGUGCUGUCCACCACACCAAGGUCCAGGAAACGUGCCGGUGGUUUUUCCUGGUGGGAUUGCUUCUCGCUGGCAUGAGCCUGGCGUCUGACCUGGUGUACAGAGUGAAGGAAGAGUCCCCGAGCAGGACCCUCAUAGGCAACCUUGCCACCGACCUCAAGCUGGGAGGCUCGCCCGACUCCGGGGUCACCUACAACUUGGCGUCGCAACCGGUGGACGGGCGCUUCGUGGAUCUGGACCGGGACACGGGGGAGCUGCGGACCUCAGACUCGCAGCUGGACCGUGAGAGGUUGUGCCCCGAAGAGCCGGAGCAGGAAUGCUGGCUCUUCCUCGAUGUCAUCUUGCUGCCCGCCAGCCUCUUCAGACUGCUCAAGAUCAGCAUCUUGGUGGAGGACAUCAACGACAACCCGCCGCGGUUCCCUGCAGCCAGCAUCGGCGUGUCGGUGGCGGAGAACGCCGAGCCCGGUUCCCGCUACUCGCUGGAGCCGCCCGCGGAGGACGGAGACCCGGGCGUUCACGGGGUGCAGAGCUACCGGCUGUCCGGGGACCACGCCGGCUUCUCGCUGGUCACCGAGCGGACUGGCGGCGGCGGCUCCCCGGUGCCGUGGCUGGUGUUACAGGCGCCCCUGGACCGGGAAUCCCGAGACCUGUACCAGAUGGUGUUGGUGGCAGAGGACGGCGGCUCUCCCCCCCGCUCCGGCACCGCCAGCCUCACCGUCACCGUCACCGAUGUCAACGACAACUGCCCGCGUUACACCGAGUCCAGCCUCAACGUUACGGUCCGCUCCAACGCCACGGUGGGUAGCCCGCUCGCCCGGCUGCUCGCCACCGACCCCGACCUGGGCUACAACGCCCGCAUCGUCUACUCCUACGGCGACCGGGUGCCAGCCAGCUCGGCGCGGCUCUUCAGCCUGGACAGCAGCUCGGGGGUGAUCCGGUUGGCCGAGCCCAUCCUGGGCAGCACGGCGAGGCUGCACCGUCUGACUGUGUUGGCCACGGGCACCGGCUGCAGCCCGGUCACCGCUGCCGUGCGUCUGGCCAUCCAGCCGCUGCAGCCGGCGCCGCCCCGGGUCAGCCCUCGCUACAUCGCCGUGCAGUCGGACGGCGUGGUUUACCUGAAGGAGAGCGAACCCGCCCGCACUCCCAUCGCCUUGUUCACCGUCAGCGACCCCGAGCGCAGCCGCCCUCCCCGCUGCUACCUGCAGGGCCCGGGCCCGUUCCCGUUCCGCCUCGCCCCCUACCGCGCCUUCCGAGACGAGUACCUGCUGGAGACCUCGCAGGACCUCGACUACGAGCUGGUGCCCGAGUACGAGGUGACCGUGGUGGCCGAGAGCGCCGACGGCCUCGCCCUCCGGACCCACCUCACGAUCCGGCUGCUGGACGAGAACGACAACUCGCCCGUCUUCCUCCAGCCCGUGUUGGACGUGGACAUCGAGGAGAACAAGCCGGCCGGCAGCUUCCUGGCCAGAGUGGAGGCCAGCGACGCGGACAGCGGGCGGAUGGGCAGUGUCACCUUCGCCCUGCUCCCCGGAGCCCUGCCCGCCUUCGGCCUGGACAAACACAGCGGGGUGCUCACGGUGGCGGCGCCGCUCGACCGCGAGGAACAGGAGAAGUAUCGCAUCUUGGUCAAGGCUAUCGAUGGCGGGACCCCGGCCCGGGAAUCGACGGCCACCGUCCUCCUCACCGUGCUGGACACCAAUGAUAACAGCCCCAGGUUCAUCAACAAGGACUUCAACUUCUUUGUCCCCGAAGACCACCCGAGUUUCAGCGAGAUUGGAGUGAUCGGCGUUAUGGAUGCUGACGCUGGAAUCAACGGCUGGAUGGCUCUGUCCAUCCUCAACGGCAGUGACCAAUUUGUCAUCGACACGGGCAGGGGGAACCUCAUGGCCAAAGCCCCCUUGGACCGGGAGCAACAGAGCUCCUAUGUACUCUGGGUCCAAGCUACAGACGGCGGGGUGCCUGCUCUGUCCACUAUAGCGAAGGUGACUGUUCUCCUAACGGAUGUCAAUGAUAACCCACCGUUGGUCUUGUUCCCUCAGUCCAAUCUCUCUUUUCUUCUGGUGGCCCCAUCCACAGCUCCUGGGUCUUCCAUCACCGAAGUGUAUGCGGUUGACAAAGACACGGGAAUGAAUGCUGUCAUUGCUUACAGCAUCAUUGGCCACAGAGGACCCCGUCCAGAGACCUUUGUCAUUGACACAGGAACGGGUAACAUCACCUUAAUUGGGACUUUGGUGAAGAAUGACUAUGGACUAUAUAGACUGCUGGUCAAAGUCAGUGAUCACGGUUACCCAGAGCCACUUCACUCCACAGUCAUUGUCAAUCUCUUUGUCAAUGAAACAUUGAGCAAUGAAAGUUACAUAGAAAACCUGCUGAGGAAGGAGCCCGACAUCAGGAUUGAGGAAAGUCUCCCAGAGACCAGGACUGACCCUUUUCAAACAGAAGUCAACGUAUUCCCCUGCCAGACUGUGUUGAUAGCACUAUCUGGUUUAUGCUUUGGCCUUCUGAUCUUGGUAUUUGGUUUGGUGAGUUACGUUUCGCUCAGAAAAAGGAAGCACAGACGUAAAAAUUUCUGCGUUGGAGAGGUUGAUAUCCCAUUAAACAAGAUUGCUUCAUGUACAUCAUUGAAGAAAUCAGUGAUUUAGAUUUGUAAUUGAGACUGGACAGAUGACAAUUGAUCAGGGCGCAUCAAUGAGUUUACCAUCAUCUUAGUUUAAAAUGUAUUUGUCUGAAGGAUUUAUGUUACAGAGCUCCAAUCUGAUCAGCAAUCAAUGAAUAUAUUGUUUACAGAACUACACCAUGUAGUUGAAGAUAGUAUUCUCUUUGCAAAAUUGCACAUUGUUAUUUUGUACAAAAAUGCUUAAACUUGCACACUUGGAUAUAUAAUUGCUUCAUUUUAUAACAACAAAACGCAGGGCCCCAAACUCCAGGGACAAAGAACUGCAACAAUCCAAUUCAACUCUUGCUUCUUUCUUUGGCUGACCAAGCAAUCAGAAAAAAGAUACGGUUGCCUUCAGUUCCAAAACUAUUGAUUGAAAAGCAGCAGCAAUGAACAUUACCAAACAUAAUUAGGUUUUGAAAAUCAUGAAGCCGCUUUUCUUCCUUAAAUGAGCCUUCUGACACCAAAUGAAUUUUAUUGAACUGGGCAAUCAGAUGAAUAUUGGACAGAAAAUUAAAGCAACAUAAGAAUUUUACUGUACCUUAAUUGAUACAUGUGACAAUAAACUGACCUUGAAACUUUGACCUUGAAGGUCUUGGAGCAAAAUAUGUAAUGCUGGAAUUCCAAAAAAAUCUCUGGAGCUCUCAACAGAUGAAGCAGCAUCAGUGCAGAGAGAAAAAUUCAGUAGAUAGACACAAAAAAGCUGGAGUAGCUGUCAGACAACAUCUAUGGAGCUAAGGAAUAGGUGACGUUUCGGGUCGAGACCCUUCUUCAGAUUGAAAUAUUCUAUGUUUUGGUUGAAGAUUCUCCAGCAGAACUGGAAAAAUGAGAAAAUAAGCAUUAAAUUGCAGAUAUUUUGUAAUUUAAUACACUUUUUAUCUGACUUUUCCAGCUGUGGGGAGGAGAUCUUUACCAGAACAAAAGGAGUUGACUGUUUCUCUCACCAUGGUUGCUGCUUCACCAGAGCGCUUCAUGGAUUUUCUGUUUUUGUUUGAAAUAGGUGAUUAACUGGCCUUGUUUCAAGUUUCACCCAGAAUAUGGGAAUUGAAUUUAAACUGGAUUCAAUUAUCUGAUGAGAAAAUUAUGACCAACAAUACGUGUGUAAAUGACUUAAUUUGUGACCAUUUGUAUUGAAGUCUACAACAGCUAUAUGAAACAUUUUGUUGCAAAUAAAUUAUUUAUUUUUUAUUUAAAAUUAUGAAGUUAAGACUUUAAAUAA